GUCGAGCGGACAGAUGGGAGCUUGCUCCCUGAUGUUAGCGGCGGACGGGUGAGUAACACGUGGGUAACCUGCCUGUAAGACUGGGAUAACUCCGGGAAACCGGGGCUAAUACCGGAUGGUUGUUUGAACCGCAUGGUUCAAACAUAAAAGGUGGCUUCGGCUACCACUUACAGAUGGACCCGCGGCGCAUUAGCUAGUUGGUGAGGUAACGGCUCACCAAGGCGACGAUGCGUAGCCGACCUGAGAGGGUGAUCGGCCACACUGGGACUGAGACACGGCCCAGACUCCUACGGGAGGCAGCAGUAGGGAAUCUUCCGCAAUGGACGAAAGUCUGACGGAGCAACGCCGCGUGAGUGAUGAAGGUUUUCGGAUCGUAAAGCUCUGUUGUUAGGGAAGAACAAGUACCGUUCGAAUAGGGCGGUACCUUGACGGUACCUAACCAGAAAGCCACGGCUAACUACGUGCCAGCAGCCGCGGUAAUACGUAGGUGGCAAGCGUUGUCCGGAAUUAUUGGGCGUAAAGGGCUCGCAGGCGGUUUCUUAAGUCUGAUGUGAAAGCCCCCGGCUCAACCGGGGAGGGUCAUUGGAAACUGGGGAACUUGAGUGCAGAAGAGGAGAGUGGAAUUCCACGUGUAGCGGUGAAAUGCGUAGAGAUGUGGAGGAACACCAGUGGCGAAGGCGACUCUCUGGUCUGUAACUGACGCUGAGGAGCGAAAGCGUGGGGAGCGAACAGGAUUAGAUACCCUGGUAGUCCACGCCGUAAACGAUGAGUGCUAAGUGUUAGGGGGUUUCCGCCCCUUAGUGCUGCAGCUAACGCAUUAAGCACUCCGCCUGGGGAGUACGGUCGCAAGACUGAAACUCAAAGGAAUUGACGGGGGCCCGCACAAGCGGUGGAGCAUGUGGUUUAAUUCGAAGCAACGCGAAGAACCUUACCAGGUCUUGACAUCCUCUGACAAUCCUAGAGAUAGGACGUCCCCUUCGGGGGCAGAGUGACAGGUGGUGCAUGGUUGUCGUCAGCUCGUGUCCUGAGAUGUUGGGUUAAGUCCCGCAACGAGCGCAACCCUUGAUCUUAGUUGCCAGCAUUCAGUUGGGCACUCUAAGGUGACUGCCGGUGACAAACCGGAGGAAGGUGGGGAUGACGUCAAAUCAUCAUGCCCCUUAUGACCUGGGCUA
rnacentral:rRNA from 1 species